rnacentral:rRNA from 1 species
AGUGGCGGACGGGUGAGUAACGCGUGGACAACCUGCCGUGUACAGGGGGAUAACAGCCGGAAACGGCUGCUAAUACCGCAUAUGCGCACAGUGCCGCAUGGUACAGUGCGGAAAGCCUAGAUCUUAUCUAGUACGGUACACGAUGGGUCCGCGUCUGAUUAGGUAGUUGGCGGGGUAACGGCCCACCAAGCCCACGAUCAGUAGCCGGCCUGAGAGGGCGGACGGCCACACUGGGACUGAGACACGGCCCAGACUCCUGCGGGAGGCAGCAGUGGGGAAUAUUGCACAAUGGGGGGAACCCUGAUGCAGCGACGCCGCGUGAAGGAAGAAGUAUCUCGGUAUGUAAACUUCUAUCAGCAGGGAAGAAAGAGGACGGUACCUGACUAAGAAGCCCCGGCUAACUACGUGCCAGCAGCCGCGGUAAUACGUAGGGGGCGAGCGUUAUCCGGAUUUACUGGGUGUAAAGGGAGCGUAGACGGCCAUGCAAGCUCGGUGUGAAAGGUGCGGGCACAACCCGCANACUGCACUGAGAACUGUAUGGCUGGAGUGCCGGAGGGGCAGGCGGAAUUCCUGGUGUAGCGGUGAAAUGCGUAGAUAUCAGGAGGAACACCGGUGGCGAAGGCGGCCUGCUGGACGGCGACUGACGUUGAGGCUCGAAAGCGUGGGGAGCGAACAGGAUUAAAUACCCUGGUA